rnacentral:rRNA from 1 species
GGGGCGGCCUACCAUGCAAGGUCGAGCGGUUGACGGGAGCUUGCUCCCUGAUUCAGCGGCGGACGGGUGAGUAAUGCCUAGGAAUCUGCCUAUUAGUGGGGGACAACGCUUUCGAAAGGAACGCUAAUACCGCAUACGUCCUACGGGAGAAAGCAGGGGACCUUCGGGCCUUGCGCUAAUAGAUGAGCCUAGGUCGGAUUAGCUAGUUGGUGGGGUAAUGGCUCACCAAGGCGACGAUCCGUAACUGGUCUGAGAGGAUGAUCAGUCACACUGGAACUGAGACACGGUCCAGACUCCUACGGGAGGCAGCAGUGGGGAAUAUUGGACAAUGGGCGAAAGCCUGAUCCAGCCAUGCCGCGUGUGUGAAAAGGUCUUCCGAUUG